rfam:Glycine soja cultivar W05 scaffold208_70, whole genome shotgun sequence.
CCGCACGAUGCCUCCCGGGCCUCUCUGAAAUCCCCAUGACGUGAACGCCCCGAUGCACGUGCCAAAUCGCCGCCGUUCGUGUUGCAGUUUAGCCCCAAUUUUCCCACGGUUGAUCUGUGUCAAAGUAACGGCGAAAUUC